CCUACGGGAGGCAGCAGUGAGGAAUAUUGGUCAAUGGGCGGAAGCCUGAACCAGCCAAGCCGCGUGAGGGAAGAAGGUACAGCGUAUCGUAAACCUCUUUUGUCAGGGAACAAAGGCGGGGACUAGUCCCCGGAUGAGGGUACCUGAAGAAAAAGCAUCGGCUAACUCCGUGCCAGCAGCCGCGGUAAUACGGAGGAUGCGAGCGUUAUCCGGAUUUAUUUGGUUGAAAGGGUGCGCAGGCGUCCUGUUAAGUCAGCGGUAAAAGCCCGGGGCUCAACCCCGGCGAGCCGUUGAAACUGGCUGGCUGGAGUGGGAGAGAAGUACGCGGAAUGCGCGGUGUAGCGGUGAAAUGCUUAGAUAUCGCGCAGAACCCCGAUUGCGAAGGCAGCGUACCGGCUCCACACUGACGCUGAGGCACGAAAGCGUGGGUAUCGAACAGGAUUAGAUACCCCUGUAGUC
rnacentral:rRNA from 1 species